UGUCGAAAGAGGAAAUUCAUUCGCGUUUCGGCGUCGAAGUUAAACGUUUGUAUGACGAAAGACGUUUCGGCGUAUUUUGCUUCUYACGUUUUUCGAGUCGAUGUCGAACGCGUGCACUUUUCCUCUAGUAGGACGUCGCGAUCCGUUGGGUGUCUGUCUAGGGCUCGAGGUGGAGCCCACGUAAUUUCGAUUGCGUGGACCCUUGGUGUCCCGACAGACUCGCUCGACGGUAUACUAAUGGCGUGGGGCCGCUACUUAAGUUAGCGUUCGGCCCGUAGCAAGCGCGUUCUGUGUUGACGGCCAUCGGACCUGGUGCCGAUUCUGUCCCGGAACGACUGUUGGUUGCGGUGUUCUCGAACAGACCUCA
rnacentral:rRNA from 1 species